GAUGAACGCUGGCGGCGUGCUUAACACAUGCAAGUCGAACGGUGAAGGCGGAGCUUGCUCUGCUGGAUCAGUGGCGGACGGGUGAGUAACACGUGAGCAAUCUGCCCCUGACUCUGGGAUAAGCGCUGGAAACGGCGUCUAAUACUGGAUACGAGCUGCGAAGGCAUCUUCAGCAGCUGGAAAGAACUUCGGUCAGGGAUGAGCUCGCGGCCUAUCAGCUUGUUGGUGAGGUAACGGCUCACCAAGGCGUCGACGGGUAGCCGGCCUGAGAGGGUGACCGGCCACACUGGGACUGAGACACGGCCCAGACUCCUACGGGAGGCAGCAGUGGGGAAUAUUGCACAAUGGGCGAAAGCCUGAUGCAGCAACGCCGCGUGAGGGACGACGGCCUUCGGGUUGUAAACCUCUUUUAGCAGGGAAGAAGCGAAAGUGACGGUACCUGCAGAAAAAGCGCCGGCUAACUACGUG
rnacentral:rRNA from 1 species